CAGUAGCCGCGGUAACACGGAGGGUGCAAGCGUUAAUCGGAAUUACUGGGCGUAAAGCGCACGCAGGCGGUCUGACAAGUCAGAUGUGAAAUCCCCAGGCUUAACCUGGGAACUGCAUUUGAAACUGUCAGGCUGGAGUCUUGUAGAGGGGGGUAGAAUUCCAGGUGUAGCGGUGAAAUGCGUAGAGAUCUGGAGGAAUACCGGUGGCGAAGGCGGCCCCCUGGACAAAGACUGACGCUCAGGUGCGAAAGCGUGGGGAGCAAACAGGAUUAGAUACCCCUGUAGUCCCUGUCUCUUAUAC
rnacentral:rRNA from 1 species